GAUGGACGCUGGCGGCGUGCCUAAUACAUGCAAGUCGAGCGAACGGACGAGAAGCUUGCUUCUUUGAUGUUAGCGGCGGACGGGUGAGUAACACGUGGAUAACCUACCUAUAAGACUGGGAUAACUUCGGGAAACCGGAGCUAAUACCGGAUAAUAUUUUGAACCGCAUGGUUCAAAAGUGAAAGACGGUCUUGCUGUCACUUAUAGAUGGAUCCGCGCUGCAUUAGCUAGUUGGUAAGGUAACGGCUUAUCAAGGCAACGAUGCAUAGCCGACCUGAGAGGUGGAUCGGCCACACUGGAACUUAGACACGGUCCAUACUCCUACGGGAGGCAGCAGUAGGGAAUCUUCCGCAAUGGUCGAAAGCCUUACGGAGCAACGCGACGUGAGUGAUGGCGGUCUUCGGUUCGUAAAACUCUGUUAUUAGGGAAAAACAUAUGUGUAAGUAACUGUACACAUCUUGACGGUACCUAAUCAGAAAGCCACGGCUAACUACGUG
rnacentral:rRNA from 1 species